GCGCGCGCCGGUGUCCGGCAGGCGGGCGCCGACCAGGCCGGCCUGGUCGACCUCAUGGAGGACGCCAUGCAGGAGGCCAGCCCGCCGAGGCCGGCUCCUGCACAGGUGAACCAGGGUCCAGUGGAGGUGUUCUUCUUCCCGAAUGAGCCACAUGUGGCGGCGCCCCCACCUCCUCCGCAGCUGGCCACGGAGGCUGUGCCGUCCAACACGGUGAUGGCGACCAUGGCCGAGGCGCUGGCCGACAUCGACGACGAGUUCGACGACGCCGACAGGGC